rnacentral:tRNA from 1 species
CGGGACAUAGCUCAGAGGACAGAGCAUCUGCCUUCUAAGCAGUCGGUCGCUGGUUCGAGUCCAGCUGUCCUGACCA